ensembl:lncRNA
CAAGUUUACAUAAUUUGUACAGAGUGUACCUAGUAAAUGAAGAGUACACUGAGCUCAUAAACAGGCUCUUGCUAUUGUUGCACUAAGCUAUCUCAGCAGAGGGCUUGUUUCUCAGCUCAGCAUUAUUAAUGCCUUCCCUAUUAUUGCAGAGUGUGAGGAACAGAAUGCCUUUAUCUCUCUUAUUGGCUGCAGGUUCUCAGCAGAGUUUGAACACAUAUUCUGCUUGGCCAGUACAAUCUGGUUUGAAACUUACUGCAAACAGUCACAGGUUGAAAAAUGUUUUAAGAAAGCAACUUGCUACAUCAACCAUUCUGACCCAUCAACAAACCAGUUUCCAGACAGGACUUGCUCGUCUUUUCUUCCAUCAUAGCUGAUUGAACGAGAAUUCCCCCUGAUGCAGCACUUCUAAUGUCUCCAUGCAGAUAUUGCGAGGUCUCAUUUUCAGAGAAAAAAAAAAGUCUUGCUCUCCUUCCACCAAACCCCAUAUGAAGGGACCAGAAGCCCUGAGCCCCUGCCCUCCCCACCACCCAGGAAGCCAGGUGGCUGAGGGGAUUGUCAAGGCCAAAGCUUCAGAGCACCCACCAAGCACUGGCCUCCUGCAGACACACAGUCCAGACGGAAGGCUCUCUUUGUGGCUCAAAAAGGAUAAAAAUGAAAAAUCCUGCAUGGCUCAGAAAGGAUGAAUGGAGAAAUCCUGCCAUCCUGGCUUAAGAAGAGAGAGCCAAGAUGCACAAAAGAUUUUUGUUACAAAAACAACAGUAACAAUCCUCCCUUCUCAGAAUCCCUUACUAGAGGCUUUUUUUUUGAACAUCUCAACUGAAAGGCUGAUCCCAAGCAGCUUUUUGGCCAGAUGACCUUGGCACACUUUGCCCUGUACCCUGCUAGGUGGAAAGGCCCCGUGUUGCUCUGAUGGGUAGAUAAAAGGAGGCGGCAUCAGCACAAACUUGGCCUGACUCUGUUGGGACCAGCAGUAUGUGUGAAGACAGUCACAUUAAGAUUUUAAUUCACAUUUAAGACAUUAAACUUAAUCUAACUGUGACCCUGUCCCUUAUCAAUGGAAGUUCUCUGGGCUCAAUGAGGCAUGAGAACUCUGCAACAAGACACAUGCUUUCUUAACCAGGCAAAAGGUAUAGGAAUUAAAUACCAGUGGGCAUUUUCCCUCGUGUCACAAGCACAAACAUCCUACAUUCUACCCUGAAUUAUAUGUAUUAACUCUGAAUGUGGUGAGCCUCUGUUGUAAAAUCUGGGGAAUGGUAACACGAUGCUCCUGAAUACCUGGGAAGCUGUCUUCCAUUUCUGUACUGGCGAGAAAAGGACCCCAUGGGAUGAGAUGCAUUUCACAGUUUUGCCUGUUGUAUCUUCAGACUUAAUCUAUCACUCGAGGUAUACAUGAAUGUGAAAAGAGAGCAAAACUGUAGUAGAAAGAAUAUGAAAAGAGAGCAAAAUUGUAGUAGAAAGCUCUUGCAGGCAUAACUCAUGGUUUUUAACAGACUUGAUUGUGAAAGAGAAAUGCAAAUGACCUGUAGAAUAUUAUUUGGCAAAUAAGACACUAAGAAGCAGAAGUGAUGAUUAGCUUUCAGUCUUCUAAGAAAGAGGUAUGUUCCUUACUUUAUUCUUGCUUUUCUUCCAAACUCUGUCAAGCUAUACGGGAGAUUCAGAUCAACAAUCAUGAACUUGUACUAAUACCACAUCACAGAUGACUACUAUCAUUCACUUUGAUGACCACAAAAUCAAAGCUCAGCAUCUUGUGAAAGCCAAGCAGGGUGAUUACAAAAUCAGGCCCAAACCAUUUUCAGCAUUAUAUCCUUUAAAAUGCUAAUGCUUUAAUCCAUAGACACUGAUCAAACAGCUCAAAAAACUCCACAUUUGAGAUCAAGGCUCCGGACUUUCAAGGGAACUUUCUCACUCAAAAAGUUCCAGAGGUGAGAAGCAUAAUUACAUGCAUAUUUCAAAGGGAGGAAAAAGUUUGAAGGUAUCUUUGAAAAUUAGAAGUUUGCCUUGCCUCCUCCCACAUGGUGAGAUUAGGUCUUUUAUUUGUUUCUGGUAAGCUCUAGCAAACUGUGAUACAAGAAUUAUAGACCAAUUCUCUGUGCUUUGUUAUUUACACAAAAUUUAAACAUGAUUUCAUAAAAACUUAUUUUCUGCCUUUUUUUGCACUUUAUCCUACACAUUCUUUGAGCUGAAAUCCUUAAAAGCCAGCUGUUGAACAGUCUGAGAUUACAGUAUAGAAUGUUAGAGCAAAUAAGCAAAUUAGAUGAGAAGAGAAAAAUAGCAUGAAUCCUUACUACUCUCUACUAUAAUUUUCUUUGCAGAUGCUUACCAUCCUGCAGCAGUGCCCUGACACCAGCUGCAGUUACGUGGCUCACUCUGGAUGUCUGCAGUGCAGUGAGCUUGUCCUGCCCACUGUCAGAUCAGUGAGGGGUGUGAAGGCUGUGGUCAUGGCUGAAGGCAUCAAAAACUGGAGCUCUUGUGUAAGCACAGCAUAUACAUGCAAAAAAUACACUAGAUAUCACAGUAAUAAUGACUGAUAUA